GUCUAUGGUCAUACCACCCUGAACGUGCCUGAUCUCAUCUGAUCUCGGAAGCUAAGUAGGGUCAGGCCUGGUUAGUACUUGGAUGGGAGACCGCAUGGGAAUAACAGAUGCUGUAGACU
ensembl:rRNA 5S_rRNA 5S ribosomal RNA